GAGUUUGAUCAUGGCUCAAGACGAGCGCUGGCGGCGCGCCUAACACAUGCAAGUCGAACGAGCGAGAGAGAGCUUGCUUUCUCGAGCGAGUGGCGAACGGGUGAGUAACGCGUGAGGAACCUGCCUCAAAGAGGGGGACAACAGUUGGAAACGACUGCUAAUACCGCAUAAGCCCACGGGUCGGCAUCGACCAGAGGGAAAGGAGCAAUCCGCUUUGAGAUGGCCUCGCGUCCGAUUAGCUAGUUGGUGAGGUAACGGCCACCAAGGCAACGAUCGGUAGCCGGACUGAGAGGUUGAACGGCCACGAUUGGGACUGAGACACGGCCCAGACUCCUACGGGAGGCA
rnacentral:rRNA from 1 species